rnacentral:ncRNA from 1 species
GCAGAGUAAAUUUGUGUGCGUUAAGUGCCGUGUGAACGGGGAGUUGUCAUGCGGACGAAAAGGAUUCUUGCGGUACACAGAUUGCAUCCCGCUG